rnacentral:rRNA from 1 species
AGCAGCAGCCGCGGUAAUACGAAGGGGGCUAGCGUUGCUCGGAAUUACUGGGCGUAAAGGGAGCGUAGGCGGACAUUUAAGUCAGGGGUGAAAUCCCGGGGCUCAACCUCGGAAUUGCCUUUGAUACUGGGUGUCUUGAGUAUGAGAGAGGUAUGUGGAACUCCGAGUGUAGAGGUGAAAUUCGUAGAUAUUCGGAAGAACACCAGUGGCGAAGGCGACAUACUGGCUCAUUACUGACGCUGAGGCUCGAAAGCGUGGGGAGCAAACAGGAUUAGAUACCCGAGUAGUCCCUGUCUCUUAUAC